rnacentral:snoRNA from 1 species
ACGACCUUACUUGAACAGGAUCUGUUCUAUAGGCCCGUACCUCUGAGUUCUUGAUUCCUAAGAAGACAAAAACCCAUGUCUGGUGGACGAAUCAGUACCGUGUGACUAGAGCGUGAUUAACGGAGCCAGCCCAUCUGAUGGGUCCUUUGCAUCUUUCUUUUCAUCGUUACGCAUCGUUUGCAUUAUGUCCUUUGACAACACACUCCCACAGAUC